rnacentral:lncRNA from 1 species
AAAUUUUAUCCAUAAAAUGAAAUGAUUAAUUCAGCAAAUUGUGGUCUCUUUUUGUAGGUCUAAUACUUGGAAAGAUUGGAUGUGGAGGAGGUGCUAGAGGACCUUUGGUCUGAUGUUUACUGGACAGUUCAUAAGAAUCUAAUACCCCACAGGCAGCAUGGGCGUCAGGUGCCCUGCAGCGCUACCCCAGCAAAGGAACAUUGGAGAAGAAAAGAUAUAGCAAGUCACUGAAGCGUGAUAGCCGCAGUACCACAGACAUUUACGAAGAGAUGAUGGAAUGCUGACCUACUGAUGAAGCUGUUACUGAAGAUGAUCAGGGUAGACUGCAGUACAUCUCACCCAUCAAUGGGCAUUUCCUAUCAGGAGCAUCUUUAUUUUUUACCUGAAGCCUCUUGCCCCUCCAAACAGCUGGAGUCAGAUAAGGUUAUACCUGUUUGCAUCAGAAGGAGAAGAAGAGGGCAAGUACUGUGCUAA